GUACGAGUGGCAGAAUGAUGAUGCGCGGAGCUGCAACCUCCGUUUAUGCCGGUUUGAAUCCGGCCUCGUACU
rnacentral:tRNA from 1 species